UGAAAAAUCGAAAGAAAACAAACAUGCAGGACGCUUCCUUUUUGCUGCUUUCCGUUCCGUUGGAGGAUUCUGCUAGGGGAUUUAUUGGAUUUAGGAUCGAUCAAUGACCGCUUUUCCGUGUAUUGAAGAUUUAAGCUUACUGAAAACUGCAGCCUGCCUUAGUAUGCAUCUCAUUGAUAUAUGGUUAUAAACAGCAGGUUCCAGAAUUCGUCCAUAAUGUCUUCACAGGCACUCAGCAGAAGCAGAACAUCUUCAUUGGAAUUGACCGAAUUUUAGCAGCUCAUCCUGCAUCCCCUUGCCAGUUAUCGAGUCGGGCUUCCGGGACAACAGAAAGCUAAUGGAAAAACAACCGAUAUUCAUAGUCAUAAACCAGGUGUUAACCUAUGAAACUUUUUACCACGCAGAAAAUAGGAAAGAGCAAGUGGAAAUAUACGACAGCAUGCCAACCGCAACGCAUUCCCGAUGUUUGAUAUCUGCGCCAAAGAUUACAGUAUAAUAGCGCAUAAUAGUGAAAUCAUUUCGACGUUAGCGCUUGAAGAUUUUAUAUAGUAGAUAUGAGGAGUGAACCGCCGACAUUGUCUCAAGAGGUCCGUGAUAUUCCGAUCAGGAUUCAACAUACAAGCAGAAAAUAAGAAAUAACCAUUUUAUUGUUCCGACUGGGAUUAUCCAUAACCAAACCCGCCAUAAGAAAUUUUAAAAUAAUAAUAAAAUAAAUAGUAAAAAAAAUAAUUAUAUUGUAUUUCUAUUGUAAUAUUGCAGAGAUUUUUAUUCUAAAUCCUAUUGUACUUCCAUGGUAAAACAAUAAAAAAGGAAAU